CGGGUUCAAGGAAAUCCCUUAUUCGCUGGAUCGGGAAGACUCAGAUAGACGGGGUCAUGGCCUAUGGCUGAGUGAUUACACGAUGGUGUAAUGUGGCAGUGAGCCGAAGGACUGUGGGCUGUCGCGCGGUGACCCGAAGGACAGUGGGCCGCUGUCGGUUGAAAGUUCCUUCUUCUGGCCUUUGUGGUAGGAAGAUAGGAUAUUGUCGAUAGUGAAGGAGGAACAUAAUGUCACCAGGGCCCGAGUUUGUUAGACAUAUAUUAUAUCGUGUUUUAGGUUGUUAAACCCUGGUUUAAAUCGAGUUUGAGUUUGGUGAUGAGCUAGUAAUUAGCAUAAUGCUAGUUAUCUUGCUAUCGUUUACCGCUGCAUAUUUCAGAUAUUGCUUAUUGUUAUUGAAUUGUGUUGUUUGGUGAACCUCUCGCUUUAGAUUGUUUGGGGUGGGAUAGCGAGGGGUUGUACUUGUUAGUUGGGGAUUGUAACUGACUGAGUAAUGCUAGAUUACUCACUCCUCACUCGUUGUUGUUUUCAGGUGACCAGUAGUGAGCUCGUAGAAGGCGCGGGAGGCUAGGCUGGCAGGUGUAGAUUUGCAUCUUUUUGGUUAAGACGCUUUCAAACUAUAAGUAUGUACUUUCGCUUUCUUGGCAUGCCACCACUUGUAUAAUAUUUGUGUAUUGUAAACCAGAUAUUAUACAUGAUAAAUAAAGCGGAUGUUUUGUGCAAAUCCCUUGUCGUUCUGAUAUUAGCUUGUUCGAGCUAACACAACGUCAGAUUGGAGUACGGGUUGAGAAGCCUUAGGCUUUGGUCUGAUGGGACGUGUUAGUGGGCGGCCUGGCCUAGUUACGAAUUUCACUUUUUGUAACUUUGGCUGGAUUGCCCAUUAACCCAUCUUGUAGCGCUCCUGAACCUUGGUAGACGGUCGGGCCGUCGGUCAUGUUCUUGUUUGAUUGUUGGCUGGUGGUUUGACCUACGCCUAGAACGGUUCGGGGGUGUUACAGUCGGGGGCAUUCGUAUUUCAUAGCCAGAGGUGAAAUUCUUGGAUUUAUGAAAGACAAACAACUGCGAAAGCAUUUGCCAAGGAUAUUUUCAUUAAUCAAGAACGAAAGUUGGGGUUCGAAGAGGAUCAGAUACCGUCCUAGUCUCAACCAUAAACGAUGCCGACCAGGGAUCAGCGGAUGUUGCUUUUAGGACUCCGCUGGCACCUUAUGAGAAAUCAAAGUUUUUGGGUUCCGGGGGGAGUAUGGUCGCAGUGCUGAAACUUAAAGGAAUUGAUGGAAGGGCACCACCAGGAGUGGAGCCUGCGGCUUAAUUUUACUCAACACGGGGAAACUUACCAGGUCCAGACAUAGUAAGGAUUGACAGACUGAGAGCUUUUUCUUGAUUCUAUGGGUGGUGGUGCAUGGCCGUUCUUAGUUGGUGGAGCGAUUUGUCUGGUUAAUUCCGUAAACCAAUUAGACCUCAGCCUGCUAACUAGAUACGUGGAUGCAUCCCUUCACGGCCGGCUUCUUAGAGGGACUAUGGUUGUUUAGGCCAAGGAAGUUUGAGGCAAUAACAGGUAUGUGAUGCCCUUAGAUGUUCAGGGCCGCACGCGCGCUACACUGAUGUAUUGAACGAGUUCACACCUUGGCCGAUAGGCCCGGGUAAUCUUUGAAAUUUCAUCGUGAUGGGGAUAGAUCAUUGCAAUUGUUGGUCUUCAACGAGGAAUUCCUAGUAAGCGCGAGUCAUCAGCUCGAGUUGACUACGUCCCUGCCCUUUGUACACACCGCCCGUCGCUCCUACCAUUGAAUGAUCCAGUGAAGUGUUUGGAUCGCGGCGACGUGGAUGGUUCGCCGUCUGCGACGUUGCAAGAAGUCCACUAAACCUUAUCAUUUAGAGGAAGUAGAAGUCGUAACAAGGUUUCUGUAGGUGAACUUACAGAAGCAUCAUUG
rfam:Brassica napus, WGS project CCCW01000000 data, contig: 29368